AACGAACGCUGGCGGCAGGCUUAACACAUGCAAGUCGAACGCCCGUAGCAAUACGGGAGUGGCGCACGGGUGAGUAACACGUGGGAAUGUAUCCUUUGGUUCGGAAUAACGUCUGGAAACGGACGCUAAUACCGGAUGAGCCUUUAGGGGGAAAGAUUUAUCGCCGAAGGAGCAGCCCGCGUCUGAUUAGGUAGUUGGUGGGGUAAAGGCCUACCAAGCCGACGAUCAGUAGCUGGUCUGAGAGGAUGAUCAGCCACACUGGGACUGAGACACGGCCCAGACUCCUACGGGAGGCAGCAGUGGGGAAUAUUGGACAAUGGGCGCAAGCCUGAUCCAGCCAUGCCGCGUGAGUGAUGAAGGCCUUCGGGUUGUAAAGCUCUUUCGCACACGACGAUGAUGACGGUAGUGUGAGAAGAAGCCCCGGCUAACUUCGUGCCAGCAGCCGCGGUAAGAC
rnacentral:rRNA from 1 species